rnacentral:rRNA from 1 species
UACGUAGGUGGCGAGCGUUGUCCGGAUUUACUGGGCGUAAAGGGAGCGUAGGCGGACUUUUAAGUGAGAUGUGAAAUACUCGGGCUCAACUUGAGUGCUGCAUUUCAAACUGGAAGUCUAGAGUGCAGGAGAGGAGAAUGGAAUUCCUAGUGUAGCGGUGAAAUGCGUAGAGAUUAGGAAGAACACCAGUGGCGAAGGCGAUUCUCUGGACUGUGGCUGACGCUGAGGCUCGAAAGCGUGGGGAGCAAACAGG